rnacentral:rRNA from 1 species
GCCUACAACAUAGAGUUAAUGCACCAGAUCCCAUUAGAACUCCAUAAUUAAGCGUGCUUAGGCUAGAGUAGUACUGGGAUGGGUGACUGCCUGGGAAGUCAUGUUAUCCC